ensembl:lncRNA novel transcript
ACCUAAGUCAAUGUUAGUCUACUACUGUACAUCUGGUAACCUCAAUCCCUGCAACCGAGGCAAAAUGGGAUUCCAGGUCUUGGCAACCUUUGAAAUUCCAAUUCCAUUUGCGAGAGCUUUGAGGAGGCCAUAUGCUGAUUUUACCACCAGCAACUUCACAACCCAGUACUGGAAUGCCAUCAGCCAGCAGGCCCCUGCCAUCAUCUGUGACUUCUAUCUGUGGCUCACUGGAAGGAAACCCAGGUGGUUAGAUGACGCUGUUAUUGAUGAGAUCACACCCAAGCUGAUCAGAGAUCCGCCCAAUUCUUGCACCUACAGCAAGGCCUUGGGAGAAA